AAAUAAAUGAAGCACGUGGCUUCAGAGGGGACUUUCCCCAGCGGAGCAGGAAGAGCUGAUGGCUGGAACAGCCCCGAGCAAGGGGCAAACUUUGCUGCAGACAGCUGCCUCCAGCAAGCACAAAAGCGUGAAGUGCCCGCAGCCAGACCGUCCACUCGGAGCCUCAGGACCUUCCACACACCGAACCUGAAGGUACGGACCUCUUCCCCACACCGACCUUCAGCUCCUGGCCCAGGCGAAAGUGCAUCUAAUGACCCGGAGAGCAGAAGCUGCCGGACCAUUCCUGUGACCCUUCAGACCUGGAAGGAGCCCAGCGCAGGGGGUUGCUGACCAGGGUAAGGCCUGGGCUGAGCCUGCUGCAUCUGUCCCCAGCUCUGCCUCAGACCCUGGCUUCCAGAUUCAGCCUCAUCCUUCCCAACCAAGGCUCUGACCUGGCAUCUCCACCAAACCUGCCUCCCCUUUGUCCAUGGAUCCAUCUAGACUCUCACUUAUAACCA